ACCAGCGGAGGGAUCAUUACCGAGUUUU
rnacentral:rRNA from 1 species